GUCUACGGCCAUACCACCCUGAACACAGUCGAUCUUAUCUGAUCUCAGAAGCUAAGCAGGUCAGGCCUGGUUAAUACUUGGAGGGGGACUGCCUGGGAAUAAAAUCGUGAAGUUGGAGAUC
rnacentral:rRNA from 1 species